GCUCCCCACCGCCACCGCCCUGCCCCACUAUUCUCUUUACAGGACAGAAGGCUGCAGCAGCACGGCGGAGAAAAAUCUCUGAGGAAUGAGUCGGUGGGAUGGGCGUAUGGGUGGAGGGAGAGGGCAGUCGAUUUUUAAACCUCAGCGAGGGUGGGUGGGCAGUUGGAAGCCAGAGGCCUUAUCACUGGGGCGCUGCAACAUCACAGAAAGUGUUAGUCCCAGGGCUCUCCCUGGCGCGCGCGGCUCCUGUGCUUGCUUCUUAUUGGCGGACCUGGCCCUGGGGGCGGAGCCGCGGUGAAGCCCCGCCCAUCCGGGCUCCAGGACCGGGGCACGCGGUUCUCCCUGAUCCCGGAGCUGGGCUCAGGGCUCGGACUCAGUCCUGCAGCGCCUCUAGGCUGCGGAUCCGCGCUUCAACCACCUGCUUUGCGCUGCGUCCGGGGAAGUGGGGAGGAGACGGGAGGGAGGGAGGAGGCGGGGAGAGGAGGAAAGAGGCAGCUUACACACGCCUUCCAGUCCCUCUACUCAGAGCAGCCCGGAGACCGCUGCCGCCGCUGCCGCUGCUACCACCGCUGCCACCUGAGGAGACCCGCCGCCCCCCCGUCGCCGCCUCCUGCGAGUCCUUCUUAGCACCCGGCGUUUCAUGCACAUUGCCACUGCCAUUAUUAUUAUCAUUCCAAUACAAGGAAAAUAAAAGAAGAUACCAGCGAAAAGAACCGCUUACACCUUUCCGAAUUACUCAAGUGUCUCCUGGAAAGAGAGGGUCGUUGUCCCCGGAGGAGCAGCCGAAGGGCCCGUGGGCUGGUGUUGACCGGGAGGGAGGAGGAGUUGGGGGCAUUGCGUGGUGGAAAGUUGCGUGCGGCAGAGAACCGAAGGUGCAGCGCCACAGCCCAGGGGACGGUGUGUCUGGGAGAAGACGCUGCCUCUGCGUCGGGACCCGCCAGCGCGCGGGCACCGCGGGGCCCUGGACGACGCCCCCUCCUGCGGCGUGGACUCUGUCAGUGGCCCACCAAGAAGGAGGAGGAAUAUGGAAUCCAAGGGGGCCAGUUCCUGCCGUCUUCUCUUCUGCCUCUUGAUCUCCGCCACCGUCUUCAGGCCAGGCCUUGGAUGGUAUACUGUAAAUUCAGCAUAUGGAGAUACCAUUAUCAUACCUUGCCGACUUGAUGUACCUCAGAAUCUCAUGUUUGGCAAAUGGAAAUAUGAAAAGCCCGAUGGCUCCCCAGUAUUUAUUGCCUUCAGAUCCUCUACAAAGAAAAGUGUGCAGUACGACGAUGUACCAGAAUACAAAGACAGAUUGAGCCUCUCAGAAAACUACACGUUGUCUAUCAGUAAUGCAAGGAUCAGUGACGAAAAGAGAUUUGUGUGCAUGCUAGUAACUGAGGACAACGUGUUUGAGGCACCUACAAUAGUCAAGGUGUUCAAGCAACCAUCUAAACCUGAAAUUGUAAGCAAAGCACUGUUUCUCGAAACAGAGCAGCUAAAAAAGUUGGGUGACUGCAUUUCAGAAGACAGUUAUCCAGAUGGCAAUAUCACAUGGUACAGGAAUGGAAAAGUGCUACAUCCCCUUGAAGGAGCGGUGGUCAUAAUUUUUAAAAAGGAAAUGGACCCAGUGACUCAGCUCUAUACCAUGACUUCCACCCUGGAGUACAAGACAACCAAGGCUGACAUACAAAUGCCAUUCACCUGCUCGGUGACAUAUUAUGGACCAUCUGGCCAGAAAACAAUUCAUUCUGAACAGGCAGUAUUUGAUAUUUACUAUCCUACAGAGCAGGUGACAAUACAAGUGCUGCCACCAAAAAAUGCCAUCAAAGAAGGGGAUAACAUCACUCUUAAAUGCUUAGGGAAUGGCAACCCUCCCCCAGAGGAAUUUUUGUUUUACUUACCAGGACAGCCUGAAGGAAUAAGAAGCUCAAAUACUUACACACUGACAGAUGUGAGGCGCAAUGCAACAGGAGACUACAAGUGUUCCCUGAUAGACAAAAAAAGCAUGAUUGCUUCAACAGCCAUCACAGUUCACUAUUUGGAUUUGUCCUUAAACCCCAGUGGAGAAGUGACCAGACAGAUUGGUGAUGCCCUACCCGUGUCAUGCACAAUAUCCGCUAGCAGGAAUGCAACUGUGGUAUGGAUGAAAGAUAACAUCAGGCUUCGAUCUAGCCCGUCAUUUUCUAGUCUUCAUUAUCAGGAUGCUGGAAACUAUGUCUGCGAAACUGCUCUGCAGGAGGUUGAAGGACUAAAGAAAAGAGAGUCAUUGACUCUCAUUGUAGAAGGCAAACCUCAAAUAAAAAUGACAAAGAAAACUGAUCCCAGUGGACUAUCUAAAACAAUAAUCUGCCAUGUGGAAGGUUUUCCAAAGCCAGCCAUUCAAUGGACAAUUACUGGCAGUGGAAGCGUCAUAAACCAAGCAAACAGAGGAAUCUCCUUAUAUUAAUGGCAGGUAUUAUAGUAAAAUUAUCAUUUCCCCUGAAGAGAAUGUUACAUUAACUUGCACAGCAGAAAACCAACUGGAGAGAACAGUAAACUCCCUGAAUGUCUCUGCUAUAAGUAUUCCAGAACACGAUGAGGCAGACGAGAUAAGUGAUGAAAACAGAGAAAAGGUGAAUGACCAGGCAAAACUAAUUGUGGGAAUCGUUGUUGGUCUCCUCCUUGCUGCCCUUGUUGCUGGUGUCGUCUACUGGCUGUACAUGAAGAAGUCAAAGACUGCAUCAAAACAUGUAAACAAAGACCUCGGUAAUAUGGAAGAAAACAAAAAGUUAGAAGAAAACAAUCACAAAACUGAAGCCUAAGAGAGAAACUGUCCUAGUUGUCCAGAGAUAAAAAUCAUAUAGACCAAUUGAAGCAUGAACGUGGAUUGUAUUUAAGACAUAAACAAAGACAUUGACAGCAAUUCAUGGUUCAAGUAUUAAGCAGUUCAUUCUACCAAGCUGUCACAGGUUUUUAGAGAAUUAUCUCAAGUAAAACAAAUGAAAUUUAAUUACAAACAAUAAGAACAAGUUUUGGCAGCCAUGAUAAUAGGUCAUAUGUUGUGUUUGGUUCAAUUUUUUUUCCGUAAAUGUCUGCACUGAGGAUUUCUUUUUGGUUUGCCUUUUAUGUAAAUUUUUUACGUAGCUAUUUUUAUACACUGUAAGCUUUGUUCUGAGAGUUGCUGUUAAUCUGAUGUAUAAUGUAAUGUUUUUAUUUCAGUUGUUUAUAUGGAUAAUCUGAGCAGGUACAUUUCUGAUUCUGAUUGCUAUCAGUAAUGCCCCAAACUUUCUCACAAGCACCUAAAACCCAAAGGUGGCAGCUUGUGAAGAUUGGGGACACUCAUAUUGCCCUAAUUAAAAACUGUGAUUUUUAUCACAAGGGAGGGGAGGCCGAGAGUCAGACUGAUAGACACCAUAGGAGCCGACUCUUUGAUAUGCCACCAGCGAACUCUCAGAAAUAAAUCACAGAUGCAUAUAGACACACAUACAUAACGGUACUCCCAAACUGACAAUUUUACCUAUUCUGAAAAAGACAUAAAACAGAAUUUGGUAGCACUUACCUCUACAGACACCUGCUAAUAAAUUAUUUUCUGUCAAAAGAAAAAACACAAGCAUGUGUGAGAGACAGUUUGGAAAAAUCAUGGUCAACAUUCCCAUUUUCAUAGAUCACAAUGUAAAUCACUAUAAUUACAAAUUGGUGUUAAAUCCUUUGGGUUAUCCACUGCCUUAAAAUUAUACCUAUUUCAUGUUUAAAAAGAUAUCAAUCAGAAUUGGAGUUUUUAACAGUGGUCAUUAUCAAAGCUGUGUUAUUUUCCACAGAAUAUAGAAUAUAUAUUUUUUUCGUGUGUGUUUUUGUUAACUACCCUACAGAUAUUGAAUGCACCUUGAGAUAAUUUAGUGUUUUUAACUGAUACAUAAUUUAUCAAGCAGUACAUGAAAGUGUAAUAAUAAAAUGUCUAUGUAUCUUUAGUUAAAUUCAAAUUUGUAACUUUAUAAACAUGUUUUAUGCUUGAGGAAAUUUUUAGGGUGGUAGUAUAAAUGGAAACUUUUUGAAGUAGACUGGAUAUGGGCUACUUGUGACUAGACUUUUAAACUUUGCUCUUUCAAGCAGAAGCCUGGUUUCUGGGAGAACACUGCACAGCGAUUUCUUUCCCAGGAUUUACACAACUUUAAAGGGAAGAUAAAUGAACAUCAGAUUUCUAGGUAUAGAACUAUGUUAUUGAAAGGAAAAGGAAAACUGGUGUUUGUUUCUUAGACUCAUGAAAUAAAAAAUUAUGAAGGCAAUGAAAAAUAAAUUGAAAAUUAAAGUCAGAUGAGAAUAGGAAUAAUAUUUUGCCACUUCUGCAUUAUUUAGAAACAUACGUUAUUGUACAUUUGUAAACCAUUUACUGUCUGGGCAAUAGUGACUCCGUUUAAUAAAAGCUUCCGUAGUGCAUUGGUAUGGAUUAAAUGCAUAAAAUAUUCUUAGACUCGAUGCUGUAUAAAAUAUUAUGGGAAAAAAAGAAAAUACGUUAUUUUGCCUCUAAACUUUUAUUGAAGUUUUAUUUGGCAGGAAAAAAAAUUGAAUCUUGGUCAACAUUUAAACCAAAGUAAAAGGGGAAAAACCAAAGUUAUUUGUUUUGCAUGGCUAAGCCAUUCUGUUAUCUCUGUAAAUACUGUGAUUUCUUUUUUAUUUUCUCUUUAGAAUUUUGUUAAAGAAAUUCUAAAAUUUUUAAACACCUGCUCUCCACAAUAAAUCACAAACACUAAAAUAAAAUUACUUCCAUAUAAAUAUUAUUUUCUCUUUUGGUGUGGGAGAUCAAAGGUUUAAAGUCUAACUUCUAAGAUAUAUUUGCAGAAAGAAGUAACAUGACAAUAGAAAGAGAGAGUUAUGCUACAAUUAUUUCUUGGUUUCCACUUGCAAUGGUUAAUUAAGUCCAAAAACAGCUGUCAGAACCUCGAGAGCAGAACAUGAGAAACUCAGAGCUCUGGACCGAAAGCAGAAAGUUUGCCGGGAAAAAAAAAGACAACAUUAUUACCAUCGAUUCAGUGCCUGGAUAAAGAGGAAAGCUUACUUGUUUAAUGGCAGCCACAUGCACGAAGAUGCUAAGAAGAAAAAGAAUUCCAAAUCCUCAACUUUUGAGGUUUCGGCUCUCCAAUUUAACUCUUUGGCAACAGGAAACAGGUUUUGCAGGUUCAAGGUUCACUCCCUAUAUGUGAUUAUAGGAAUUGUUUGUGGAAAUGGAUUAACAUACCCGUCUAUGCCUAAAAGAUAAUAAAACUGAAAUAUGUCUUCA